GAAGGUGCAUAUAGUCUAGCCUGCUCACUGACAUAAAUGUUAAAUAGCCGCGGUAUCUUGACCGUGCAAAGGUAGCAUAAUCAUUAGUUUUUUAAUUGGAAACUGGUAUGAAUGGUUGGACAAAGAAAAAUCUGUCUCUUUUAUUAAAAUUGAAUUUAACUUUUAAGUGAAAAGGCUUAAAUUUUCUAGAGGGACGAUAAGACCCUAUAAAGCUUUAUAAAUUUGAUAAUUUCUGUGGAUUUAAUAGAUAAACAUGAUUUUGAAAAGUUUAUUUUGUUGGGGCGACAAAGGUAUAAUUAAAAUAACUGCCAACGGUUAUUACAUUAAUUUUUGAUUUCAGAGUAAGUAAAUGAUCCCUUUUAAGGAUUAAAAGAUCAAGUUACUUUAGGGAUAACAGCGUAAUCUUUUUUGAGAGUACUUAUCAAAAAAAAGGUUUGCGACCUCGAUGUUGAAUUAAAAUGUCUUUAUGGUGCAGUAGCUAUAUAAGAAGGUCUGUUCGACCUUUAAUUUUUUACAUGA
rnacentral:rRNA from 1 species